rnacentral:rRNA from 1 species
CGACAAGCUGGAAAAGGGCGUAUGGGGAAUGCCUAGGCUCUCAGAGGCGAAGAAGGACGUGAUAAGCUGCGAAAAGCUGCGGGGAUCGGCACACACGAUAUGAUCCGCAGGUAUCCGAAUGGGGCAACCCGUUAUAUUGAAGGUAUAACAUCCGCAAGGAGGCAAACCCGGGGAACUGAAACAUCUAAGUACCCGGAGGAGGAGAAAACAAAAGUGAUUCCGAUAGUAGCGGCGAGCGAAAUCGGAUUAGUCCAAACCGUACAUGUUCCGGCAUGUGCGGGGUUGUAGGACCACGACAUUCGAGAUGUGAUGAACUAGAACGCUUUGGAAAUAGCGGCCAUAGAGGGUGAUAGUCCCGUAUAGGUAAAGAGCAUUUAGAUAGUGGUAUCCUGAGUAGUGCGGGGCACGUGAAACCCUGUAUGAAUCCGGCGGGACCAUCCGCCAAGACUAAAUACUCCUGAGAGACCGAUAGUGAACCAGUACCGUGAGGGAAAGGUGAAAAGAACCGUGAAUAACGGAGUGAAAUAGAUCCUGAAACCAUACGCUUACAAGCGGUCGGAGCCCAUAUGGGUGACGGCGUGCCUUUUGCAUAAUGAGCCUACGAGUUACUUUUACUGGCAAGGUUAAGUUCUUCAGGAACGGAGCCGUAGCGAAAGCGAGUCUUAAUAGGGCGCCAUAGUCAGUAGUAGUAGACGCGAAACCGUGCGAUCUACCCAUGGGCAGGUUGAAGCUGUGGUAACACAUAGUGGAGGACCGAACCCGUUGACGUUGAAAAGUCUUGGGAUGACCUGUGGGUAGGGGUGAAAGGCCAAUCAAGCUCGGAAAUAGCUCGUACUCCCCGAAAUGCAUUUAGGUGCAGCGUGUAGAUAGUUUUAUAGAGGUAGAGCUACUGAUUGGAUGCGGGGGCUUCACCGCCUACCAAUUCCUGACAAACUCCGAAUGCUAUAAAAUGUUUCUGCGCAGUGAGGGCAUGGGUGCUAAGGUCCAUGUCCGAGAGGGAAAGAACCCAGAUCACCGGCUAAGGUCCCAAAGUAUAUGCUAAGUUGAUAUAACGCGGUGGAACUGCAUUGACAGCCAGGAUGUUGGCUUGGAAGCAGCCAUUCAUUUAAAGAGUGCGUAACAGCUCACUGGUCGAGCGGUUCCGCAUGGAUAAUAAUCGGGCAUAAGCAUAUCACCGAAGCCGUGACUUUGUAUUUAUACAAGGGGUAGGGGAGCAUUGUAACUGCGUCGAAGGCGUACCUGCGAGGGAUGCUGGAGCGGUUACAAACGAAAAUGUAGGCAUAAGUAACGAUAAUGCGGGCGAGAAACCCGCACGCCGAAAGACCAAGGUUUCCCCAGCUAUGCUAAUCAGCUGGGGGUCAGUCGGGACCUAACGCGAACCCGAAGGGGAUAGUGGAUGGACAACAGAUUAAUAUUUCUGUACCUGCUCACGCUAAAAGUGACGGAGGCGAGAAGUUGGUGCGUACAGACGGAAUUGUACGUUGAAGGGAGUAGUAAU